CUAGUAACUGCGAGUGAAGCGGGAAAAGCUCAAAUUUAAAAUCUGGCGGUCUCCGGCCGUCCGAGUUGUAAUUUAGAGAAGCGUUAUCCGUGCUGGACCGUGUAUAAGUCUCCUGGAAUGGAGCGUCAUAGAGGGUGAGAAUCCCGUCUUUGACACGGACUACCAGUGCAUUGUGAUGCGCUCUCGACGAGUCGAGUUGUUUGGGAAUGCAGCUCAAAAUGGGUGGUAAAUGCCAUCUAAAGCUAAAUAUUGGCGAGAGACCGAUAGCGAACAAGUACCGUGAGGGAAAGAUGAAAAGAACUUUGGAAAGAGAGUUAAACAGUACGUGAAAUUGUCGAAAGGGAAACGGUUGCAGUCAGUCGCGUCCGCCGGGGAUCAACCUUGCUUUUGCUUGGCGUAUUUCCCGGUGGAUGGGUCAGCAUCAGUUUUGACCGCAGUUGAAAGGCUGGAGGAAUGUGGCACCUUCGGGUGUGUUAUAGCCUCCUGUCAUAUGCUGCGGUUGGGACUGAGGAACUCAGCACGCCGCAAGGCCGGGAUUCGUCCACGUUCGUGCUUAGGAUGCUGGCAUAAUGUCUGUAACCGACCCGUCUUGAAACACGGACCAAGGAGUCUAACAUGCACCCCAGUGUUUGGGUGGCAAACCCGAGCGCGUAAUGAAAGUGAAAGUUGAGACCUCUGUCGUAAAGGGCAUCGACGCCCGGACCAGAACUUUUGGGACGGAUCCGCGGUAUAACGUGUAUGUUGGGACCCGAAAGAUGGUGAACUAUGCCUGAAUAUGGGCAAAGCCAGAGGAAACUUCUGGGGAA
rnacentral:rRNA from 1 species